rnacentral:rRNA from 1 species
CAGCCGCCGCGGGAAUACAGAGGGUGCGAGCGUUAAUCGGAUUUACUGGGCGUAAAGCGUGCGUAGGCGGCUUCUUAAGUCGGAUGUGAAAUCCCUGAGCUUAAAUUAGGAAUUGCAUUCGAUACUGGGAAGCUAGAGUAUGGGAGAGGAUGGUAGAAUUCCAGGUGUAGCGGUGAAAUGCGUAGAGAUCUGGAGGAAUACCGAUGGCGAAGGCAGCCAUCUGGCCUAAUACUGACGCUGAGGUACGAAAGCAUGGGGAGCAAACAGGAUUAGAUACCCCAGUAGUCCCUGUCUCUUAUAC